rnacentral:rRNA from 1 species
CAGCCCCUCGAGUGGUGGGGAUGAUUAUUUGGCCUAAAGCGUCCGUAGCCGGCCGUGUAAGUCUCCCGUUAAAUCCAGCGUCUCAAGCGUUGGACUGCGGGAGAUACUGCUCGGCUAGAAAGUGGGAGAGGUGUGCGGUAUUCUGGGGGUAGGGGCGAAAUCCUUUGAUCCCCGGAGGACCACCAGUGGCGAAGGCUGCACACUAGAACACGUCUGACGGUCAGGGACGAAAGCUGGGGUAGCGAACCGGAUUAGAUACCCGAGUAGUCC